CUCAUUUUGGUUUCUUGUUGCUUCUCUUGGAGAUUCUUGUUUAUCCCAAGCUGCUAUAACAUUUUCAUAAUUCAGUCUAAGUAACAUGUUUCUCUGCCUUGUAUUACUCUCAUAAUCUUCAAUUACUUCUGUCUUGGCUGAAAUCGUAAUGGCAUUGUCAUAAUCUUUCUUGCAGCUCAUCAGAGAUUGUCCAGGACAUGCUUCAGCUCCAUUAGUUUUAGUUGCUGCUUCUUCAAUGUAAUAUAGAUCCUCCAUUGCAUCGAUUUCAUCUUCAAAGUUGAAUUGUUUCGUUGUUUCUUGAGUACCAUUGUGGUUGGUCAAGAAGAAGCCCAUCUCUGUGAAUCCUUCGAACUCUGGCACAAGAGAAGUCAUAUCAUCCUCAUCAUCAUUUGGUUCUGGUAUGAAAAACAUUGCUUCACCUCCAAUCUCGGGAACACGAGGGUCUUCUCUCCUUCUCUCAUCUUCUUUCUUUUCUUGUGUUUUUUUCUCAGACCGGGAUCUAGGUGUUCUUGCUUUUCUUCUGAACCCGCUGUGCCAAACCGGGUUUGAUGUUGUUCCUCCAAGCACAUCACUCGGUGUUCGAAGACAAA
rnacentral:lncRNA from 1 species